ACGAAACGCUGGCGGCGUGCCUAACACAUGCAAGUGGAGCGACGAACCAGGGCCUUCGGCCUGGGGGCAAAAGCCGCGAACGGGUGCAGUAACACGUGGGGUAAACCUGCCCCGAUGAUUGGGGACAACCACGAGGAAACUCGGGCUAAUACCGAAUGUGCCCUCCGACCAUAAGGUCGCUGGGGAAAGGAAGCUUCGGCCUUCGCAUCGGGGAUGGGCCCGCGGCCCAUUAGCUUGUUGAGUGAUGGUAACGGCUCACCAAGGCUGCGAUUGGGUAGCUGGUCUGAGAGGACGAUCAGCCACACUGGGGACUGAGGACACGGCCCAGACUCCUACGGGAGGGCAGGCCAAGUGGGGAAUCUUGCGCAAUGGCGCGAAAAGCGUGACGCAGCAACGCCGCGUGGGGGAAAGAAGGCCCUUUCGGGUUUUGUAAACCCCUUUCAGUUGGGACGAAGCUUCGUCGGUGAAAUAGCCGGCCCGGAGUGACGGUACCUUCAGAAAGAAGCCCCGGCCUAACUACGUGCCAGCAAGCCCGCCGGUUAAUACGUAGGGGGCAAGCGUUUGUCCGGAAAAUCAUUGGGCCGUAAAGAGCGGUGUAGGCGGCUUUGGUAAGUCCGCUGUUGAAAGUCCAGGGCUCAACCCUGGAAUGCCGGUGGGAAAACUGUCAAGCUCGAGUCCGGAAGAGGCGAGUGGAAUUCCUGGUGUAGCGGUGAAAAUGCGCAGAUAUCAGGAGGAACACCAAUGGCGAAGGCAGCUCGCCUGGGACGGUACUGACGCUGAGACGCGAAAAAAGCGUGGGGAGCAAAACAGGAAUUAGGAUAGAUACCCUGGUAGUCCACGCUGGUAAACGAUGGGCACUAGGUGGUGGGGGGGUGGUCGACUCCCUCCGUUGCCGACGCUGACGCAUUAAGUGCCCCGCCUGGGGAGUACGGCCCGCAAGGCUAAAACUCAAAGGAAUUGACGGGGGGCCCGCACAAGCAGCGGAGCAUGUGGGUUUUAAUUCGACGCAACGCGAAGAACCUUACCUGGGCUUUGACAUGUUCCUGACAGCCGUGGAAACACGGUCUCCCUUCGGGCAGGAUCACAGGUGGUGCAUGGCUGUCGUCAGCUCGUGGUCGUGAGAUGUUGGUGUUAAGUUCCCGCAACGAGCGCAAACCCCCGUCGCAUGUUGCCAGCAUUUAGUUGGGGACUCAUGCGGAGACUGGCCGGUGACAAAACCGGAGGAAGGUGGGGAUGAACGUCCAAGUCAUCAUGCCCCUUAUGUCCAGGGCUACACACGUGCUACAAUUGGCGCGUACAGGAGGGUUGCGAUAUACCGCGAGGUGGAGCGAAUCCCUUAAAGCGCGUCUCGGUUCGGGAUUGCAGGCUGAAAACCCGCCUGCAUGAAGGCGGAGUUGCUAGUAAAUCGCGGAUCAGCAUUGCCGCGGUGAAUACGUUUCCCGGGGCCUUGUACACCACCGCCCGUCACACCAUGGGAGUGAGCAACACCCGAAGCCGGUUGCCUAACCUUUUAGGAGGGGUGCCGUCGAAGGUUGGGGGCUCGCCGACUGGGGUG
rnacentral:rRNA from 1 species